GUUCCAGUUUGGAAUUUAUUUCUGCCUAAAAGUUGGAGGGGAAAAAGCAGGAAAGAAGAUUGGAGUGUUCAAUUUGGUUUUUCAGGAACGAGAAGGUACCAAAACGGAACUAAAACAAGCCAUGAACAUUCAGUGGCAUUCUCUGAAAGAAGUCACAAGUAGAAGACCAGAUAGGAGCUUUUUCCAUUUCUUUCUUUUGGUCUUUGUUAGAGUAGUUUUACAAUAAGCACUCAUCUACAAGUACUUAUGUAUAGUCACAAGCAAAGGUAAGAAAAUGCCAUCUGCAAAUUUAUUAUUAGUGAACAGCUUUAAAACAAGCACCCUCCUGUAAGUAUUGCUAUGUAGUUUAUCUAUAUAAACUGAUAGAUUUAAUCUAA